GUGAGGAAUAUUGGUCAAUGGACGGAAGUCUGAACCAGCCAUGCCGCGUGAAGGAUGAAGGCGUUCUGCGUUGUAAACUUCUUUUAUUUAGGAAGAAACCACCGAUUUCUAUUGGUGUUGACGGUAUUAAAUGAAUAAGCACCGGCUAACUCCGUGCCAGCAGCCGCGGUAAUACGGAGGGUGCGAGCGUUAUCCGGAUUUACUGGGUUUAAAGGGUGCGCAGGCGGUCUUAUAAGUCCGGGGUGAAAUACUACAGCUCAACUGUAGAACUGCCUUGGAUACUAUAGGACUUGAAUCGAGUAUAGGUCAGCGGAAUACAACAUGUAGCGGUGAAAUGCAUAGAUAUGUUGUGGAACACCGAUUGCGAAGGCAGCUGACUGGGCUUGAAUUGACGCUCAGGCACGAAAGCGUGGGUAGCGAACAGGAUUAGAAACCCGUGUAGUCC
rnacentral:rRNA from 1 species